AUACUUACCUGGCACAGGAGUGACUUUGAUCGAGAAGGAAUGUCCUCCCAAGGUGAGGCCUCGGCAUUGCACUUGGCUGAGGUUGACCAUUGCGAUUCCCCCAAAUGUGGGGAACUCGGGUGUAUAAUUUAUGGUAGCGGGGGCUGCGUUCGUGCUAACCCGUA
rnacentral:snRNA from 1 species